GACGAACGCUGGCGGCGUGCUUAACACAUGCAAGUCGAACGGAAAGGCCCUGCUUUUGUGGGGUGCUCGAGUGGCGAACGGGUGAGUAACACGUGAGUAACCUGCCCUUGACUUUGGGAUAACUUCAGGAAACUGGGGCUAAUACAGGAUAGGAGCUCCUGCUGCAUGGUGGGGGUUGGUAAGUUUCGGCGGUUGGGGAUGGACUCGCGGCUUAUCAGCUUGUUGGUGGGGUAGUGGCUUACCAAGGCUUUGACGGGUAGCCGGCCUGAGAGGGUGACAGGCCACAUUGGGACUGAGAUGCGGCCCAGACUGCUACUGGAGGCAGCAGUGGGGAAUAGUGCACGAUGGGCGGAAGCCUGAUGCAGCAACGCCGCGUGCGGGAUGACGGCCUUCGGGUUGUAAACCGCUUUCGCCUGUGACGAAGCGUGAGUGACGGUAAUGGGUAAAGAAGCACCGGCUAACUACGUG
rnacentral:rRNA from 1 species